rnacentral:lncRNA from 1 species
UCCCGCACUGCCCCCCCGGGGCCACGUUCCCAGCUGACCCUCCCGGAUCGUCCCCGGAGACAAUGGCUCACCGCGCCUCCCGGCCCUCCGAGCUUCAGCUCGGCCACCGUUCCCAUUCCCUGGGCAGUGAAUGCCGUGACUGCCCCGUUUCACAGAAGUGUAGACCGAGGCUGGGGAGAUGACAGGCUAGCGGGCCAAGCAAAGAAACCCAGCUGCUACUGGGAUCGAGGAGGGUCCAGGUACAAAUCAGGCACAAACAGGCACAGAUCAGAGACCAAUUUCCCGUCCCGGACCGGCCCCGGCUCAGUCCGCUCGGUCUCCGGGGUAAGAGCCUCCGCCCACGCCAUCUCCUCCGCCGCCGCCUCCUCGGUCCUCCAGCGAAAGAGACAAAGAGCCGGCGCCCCAGCCCGCGAAGCCGCGGCUGCCGGGAGCGGGAGACCAGGGGAUUCUGCCCUGGAACGAGGGGCGGGUGUAGGGAAGGCGAAGUGGUGGCGUUCGGGCCAAGCUGCCGCGCGCCGGGCUGCGCGGGCAGCGGGACACGCGGAUGUGGGGCGGGCAGCUCCGGCGCGUGGAAGCAGUGGCCCCAGGCGAGAGCGUGCGGGCCCCAACGGACGGGUGGGCACCGGCGCGUGGUGGCCGGAGCUUGGCAGCUCCGCGGCGGAUCGGCCGAAAGCUUGGGGCAGCGCCGCUGGGCUGGCCAGCCGCUGUUGCACUCACCGGAUCGGAAGAAGGCCGCGAUGUCGGCCAGGUCCUUGGCCGCCUCCUCGGCCCCCUCGCCUGCACCGCCCCGCAGCCCGAGCCAGCCGCGCUGGCCGCCGCGGCGGGACCGGAGGACGCGGCAGGGCGGCGGCGCUGCCGCUGCUGCCGCUCAUGGCUGCGGCGGCGCCCGCGGCUGCGCCUGCCUCGGGCCCCGCGCCCCUAGCGCCGCGUGCCGCCCGCUCUGCGCCGGGCCUGGCGGCGCCGAGCACUAGCUGCCCGCGCCCGGCGCGCACGGACGCAGAGCCCCGGGGCGGCGGGGGCGGCGGCGGCGGCUCGGCCAAGGAGCGCGCCCACAUAGACGAGGACUCCGCCCGGUAG